GUCUAUACCUAUACACUAGGAUUUGUAGCAGAAAUGCAGAGUCAUGGCUUGAGCCAAUAAUUGAGCACCUGGUAUGAAGGCAGGGCCAACCUAGGGGAGCUCAGGUGCAUGCAAUGUACCUAAGUGAUCAGAGGGGGUGGAGCCAGGAUCCACCCCUUCCCAGACCUGGAGGGAAGGAGUGGCAGUAGAAUCAAAGGUAGCUUGUGGAGAUUCUUGCAUAUCUGAAGCCUUCUGAAGCUUUUGCAUUUCUGGAACAUUUACCUACACUGGAUGGAGGACUGUGAAGUAAAUGUAUUCAGUUCAAAAAUAUAAACAUUGAUCAAGAAGACUUUGAAACAAGAAAAAGAGAAGAUUUCAUCAUUUUGGAUUUAUAAACUCAGAGUUAGUGAAAAACUUCAUGGCAAAGGUCCGUAAUCAACUUAUGAUUUGAAAGGCUCUAAUGAUGUAGAAGUCAUAGUAUGUGGAAAAAAAAGGUAUCUGAUAGGAUUUCAAAUGAAAUUUUUGUCCUAAUUUAUGUUACAAAUGCUCUACAGUAGAUCUCCAGAAAUAUGUUUCCUACAUCUUCUCCAGAGUGUCUGAGGAGUUAUCGAUAUUAUUAAAUGUUAUUGUACAAAUGUAUGAGCUGAUCAAAACUGCUUGAAAGCUUCUGUAAAUUCUCAAACUGCUAUUAAGUUUUUUUUAAGUUGUAGGAUUCCAAAUAUGUGGGUAUUUCUUAAGUAAAUGUUUUAAUUAUUACCUGUUUAAUAGGGAGGAAAAAAAAACCAACAAGAAAUCGUCACUCUUCUUAACAGUGGUGACAUCUUCAAUGAUUUGACUUGUAUGCAGACUGAUUGGGUAUUUGUGUAAUAGGUAAUGGGCCAAUUAACACUUUCCAUUUUAUCUUUGUUCUGUAUGAACUAUUUUAUCUAAUGAGUUUAAGUGGAGGUGAUCAGUAUUUCUGCAGUUUUUGCUCGUGUGUGUAUGAGGGAGGAUCAUAAAAUGAUCAUGCCAAGUAUUUAUAGAUACACCCAUGUGCAGAGACUACAACAUAUAUCUUUGUGUUAAUAUUCCAAAUAAACUUCCUUUUAUUGAUCAUUUUUAGGUGCAGUUGCAAAUAAAAGUGUAGUUUCAUUACAGGUAAUUUUGCAUAUGUUUUGAAAAGCAUGGUUUUGUUUUGAGUAUAUUCAGUUCCCUUUAGACAAAAGACUAAAAAUUACUAGUGAGACUGAUAUUGAAAAUCGGUGUAAUUUAGAGAUGUUUGAACAGCAGGUUCGAUGUCUUUUCAAAACUCCUGAUCUGAAAUUGAGGAGCGAUUUCUGCGUUUCCAUUUUUAUUCUUUUACUGCGUCAUUGUGUUCUGCUGACAGCAGUGUUAAUUCUUAGUUAACAUUGAGGAUUUAGAAAAAUUGGAUUUAUGCAGAAAAAACUGUUCUUUAAGUUCCCUCUUCAGGAAAUUUUGCAACUUUUAAAUAAUUCAUCUUCAAGUGCAGAAUUUACAAAAACAAUGACGGUAAGAACAGAAGCAAAAUAUUACAUCUUUUUAAGAACUUCACCGUGUAAUUUUAGUAAGAUUUUUCUCCCUGUUAAUUUACUGUGCCGAUCUCGAAACGUGCUUCACACAGCGCUUUUCCAACAGGAAACUGAAUAUCAUCUAUAAUCCAUUUUGUUUGCACAGUAAAUAUGUAAUUCAGACUCUAAUCUCUUGUAAAAAUAAAAU